UUAAAAAAAAAAAGCAAAAUAAAAAUAUAUUGACUGAAAAAUAUAUAUAUUGACUAGAGCAUUAAAAAUUAAUGAUAAGUGAUAACUCAUUCAUCUGAUAACUAUUUGUGCAUUUCCUAACUGUGUGGCUUUAGCUCCAUGGGGAUCAUACCCCUGGUUGUCAGAAGUCAAACUACCUAAUAAUCACAACAGAUACAGUUACGGAGUAUUUAAUCUCUGCCAGGCAUUGUGUUGAAUCUUUAAAAGAUAUUAUCUCAUUUAAUCCUUACAGCAACCCCAAAGAGGAAGUACUAGUUUCCCAUCUGGAGAAAUAGGACAACUAAAGCUUAGAAAAGUGAAGCAUUUUCCCACUUAUAAGCCGAAGCAGCAGAAUUCCAGGCCAGCUCCAUCUGCCUCCAAAGUCUGUACUCUGAAUCACGCCAACCCUCUGUUCUGUGUUGGGGGGAUAGGAGAUGUGGAUACAUAAAAGACUAUGAUCAGAGAGCUGGAGGUCACAGGGACAAACAAGAUGAGGUGUCAAGGAGCUAAUAAAAGGCAUCCUUGAUGGUUCAGAGCCAGAAGAAGGGAUGGAAGGUGGCGAUGGAGGUGUGGGGAAUGAGGUCACCCUUGGAAGAGAAUGGAAUGUCAAAUAAGAGAGGGUAUUCUGGGGCUGGAUGCCAAGCAGGAGGCAGCGCUAUGCCCCCUCACACACAGGUGGGGCGGAAACCUCUGGACAGGAAAGAGACUAUGUGACUAAGGAGCUUGUAAGCUAUUCAGCUGGAAGCAAACAACACAAGGAGAGCCCACACAGAUGCCUGCUCUGAUGCCUCAUGAGUUUACUGCAAGCAACUCACAUGCGCCUCACGCACACAGACCGCCUGUCUUUUCCAGCUCAGCCAACCAAACCCUAUGAGUCAUGCCCUGGCCCCUCACAUCUGUUCUUAGCUGGCGGUUUGCAGCUACCCAAAAGGAGGGCAGAUGAAAGAUGAAAUUACCCAUUUGGGUUUCAUUGCAGGCUGGACCAAGUGUAAUCGUUGAUGGAGAAACCUCUAUCAGGCCCAGUUUGGAGGGUCACCGAGAAAUGGAUUACAGCUACAGAGAGUUUAUGUGACCCAUCGGUACCAGGUGCAGGUACAGGGGAGUUGAGGCCAUGGCUUAAGGUGAACCCUCACCCUGUGGCCCUUGUCCCUUCGCUGAGUCUAGAGAGCCACUGAUGCCAUUUCUUCUCCCUGCUUCCUCCCUGUGAAGAUGGGGCCUUCGGUCUCCGUCCUCAGUGCUGUUUGUUUGACGGAAAGGGGUAGGAGACUCAGUGCAUUUACCAGGAGCGAGUAGGAGCGUGCCCCCGUCAAGCUCUGUGCAGCAAGGUAGAUCCCUCACUCACUGAGAAGUGACACACACCCUCCACUAAAACUCUCCAAAUCAAAUUUAACACAAAAUGAAAUGUUAAAUGCUUAGAGAAAAGGGAUCACACCUAUAUGUCAGGCCCAGUACCAGAUAUUUUAUAUGGAAUCAUCGUGUGUAAUGACGAUCAUACCCACCCCAUGAGGUUGGCACUAUGUCCCCUUCACAGAUGAGAGAACUGAGGCAGAGCAGAGAUAAACACAUACAGUUCUGCUCUAAAGGUUUUUGUUCCAACAUAAUUGAUGUUUUAGGAAACAAUUUGAACCUAAUGUGAAUUUGUGAUUUUCACGUUUGCUCAUGCUUAUUUGUCACUGCAACACACACUGGGCGGAUGCAGAAACUGCACUUGGCUGAACUGGGCUCCAUAGAAAUGCACAAAACACAUACUUGCAUUUCCGCCAUCCACCUUCAGGUCACCAACGGUUAUGAACCACACCAUCCCUGUCUGCUGCCGCCACAAUUUUCUGUCCCAUUUCAGAUAACCCGGCUUCCACCUGCUUCACAAAUGCCCACAAGUUGCAACCUUUUCAAUGCCCAUUGCUGCAAGCAAAUUCAGUAUCUUUUUCAAGGCUAAGUGCAAUAUUUGUUGUCAUAUUUAUGUAUUUCCCAGCUAUCUAACAAGCGUAAACUACCAUUUAGACUCCUAAAUACUGACAAGUUUUUGUUUUGUGUCCCUUGCUUCGUUUUCCCCAUAAGCUCUGUGGUUCUUAUUGCCUGGUUUUGCAAAGCACAGUGAUUUUCAGAAACACAUAUGUUGUAUUAUAGCAUUAUUAUUUGUAACUUGCUCAAGAUCUCAUGGCCAAGUAGUGGCCCAGCAGAGAUUCAGACGCAAUCUGCAAAGGGACCCAUCCUACCUUCUUAACCCCUGUAUUUUACUGCUUUGACAUGUAUCAUCUGUUCUAAUCUUCACAGAAGCCUUAAGAGAACCUUUUGAUUCACAUUCUUAACCUGAAGAAAUUGAGAUUCAGAAUGUAACUCGCCUAAGGAAAGCUUGGACCAAGUUGACCAUAAGGGAUAAGUCUGAAAUUCACACUCAGGUCAGACUUCCCCGCCACAAAAUGAAAAUCCUGAAGCUAAAGAAGACCUUAGAGAGAAUCUAUUCUGGGAACCACAAAUUGGUGAUGAGCUAAAUUUGACACCAGGCAUGUUUUUCUUGUUGGCAUUCAUGGAUUGUUCUCUUUUGGUUUUCAUAUCAGUAUAAUACUGGACUCACAGACUGAGUUAAGAAAUGUUCCCUUAUGGGGCGCCUGGGUGGCGCAGUCGGUUAAGCGUCCGACUUCAGCCAGGUCACAAUCUCGCGGUCCGGGAGUUUGAGCCCCACGUCAGGCUCUGGGCUGAUGGCUCAGAGCCUGGAGCCU